rnacentral:rRNA from 1 species
UGGAGAGUUUGAUCCUGGCUCAGAUUGAACGCUGGCGGCAGGCCUAACACAUGCAAGUCGAGCGGAAACGAGUUAUCUGAACCUUCGGGGAACGAUAACGGCGUCGAGCGGCGGACGGGUGAGUAAUGCCUAGGAAAUUGCCCUGAUGUGGGGGAUAACCAUUGGAAACGAUGGCUAAUACCGCAUAAUGCCUACGGGCCAAAGAGGGGGACCUUCGGGCCUCUCGCGUCAGGAUAUGCCUAGGUGGGAUUAGCUAGUUGGUGAGGUAAGGGCUCACCAAGGCGACGAUCCCUAGCUGGUCUGAGAGGAUGAUCAGCCACACUGGAACUGAGACACGGUCCAGACUCCUACGGGAGGCAGCAGUGGGGAAUAUUGCACAAUGGGCGCAAGCCUGAUGCAGCCAUGCCGCGUGUGUGAAGAAGGCCUUCGGGUUGUAAAGCACUUUCAGUCGUGAGGAAGGUAGUGUAGUUAAUAGCUGCAUUAUUUGACGUUAGCGACAGAAGAAGCACCGGCUAACUCCGUGCCAGCAGCCGCGGGUAAUA